UACGGUGGGGGCAAGCGUUGUUCGGAAUUACUGGGCGUAGAGGGCUCGUAGGUGGCCAACUAAGUCAUACGUGAAAUCCCUCGGCUUAACCGGGGAACUGCGUCUGAUACUGGAUGGCUUGAGGUUGGGAGAGGGAUGCGGAAUUCCAGGUGUAGCGGUGAAAUGCGUAGAUAUCUGGAGGAACACCGGUGGCGAAGGCGGCAUCCUGGACCAAUUCUGACACUGAGGAGCGAAAGCCAGGGGAGCAAACGGG
rnacentral:rRNA from 1 species